ACUAAAACAUAACCUGGCCAGAGGUCUGAGUUCUGAGAAGAGACAGCAUCACAAGGCUGGAGUGACCAUUGGCAGGAGGUACUAGAGGAGAAAGAGCCACAACCAGCCAUGAGGGAGUGCUCCAGUGGACUGGAUCAUCUCCAUCUGUGAGAGUGUGCUUUGGCAGCCUAGAGGGCAGCUUUACAGUCUGUCACUUACUCCUGCUUAUUGUUCAACAAGGAUCUUUUUGAAGUACGUCACUCAGUGAACCACUUGCUCCAGAAUGACUUCACCAGCACAUCUCUCUGUUGCUGGGCCUGAUGAAUUGUCUAACUGCAAUGCACUCCCAACAGGAGUUUAGGACAUAUCUCCGUGAGUGCAAGGAACCCUAAAAUAGAUUCAUCUUUAACUACA